rnacentral:misc_RNA from 1 species
AGAAAUUGCCCCUACAGUGUAGUUACAAGCUGACAUUGUUGGAGAGACUUGCUUGGCAUGAAACCUACGAUUUGAUUGAUUGUUCUGUUGUCCUGCAGUGAGAACUGGUGGUUGACUAUCAUACAUGGUGAACCUUGUGCCAAAAAAAUUGGACCUUAAUUUACCCACAUAGGUACUGCAGGCCCAAGAAAAAUCAUCAGCUACCAGAGAU